AAAAACACAGUUUGAGAGCCCCUUGGUAUAAAAGGAAACUAACCACUUAAAAAAAAAAAAAAAAUUGCUACAGGAGAAAGGAGAAAGCGAGGCGAUAGAUACAGAGAUAGAAAUAGAGAGGCGAUGAGAUUUGGAGAAAGAAAUAGAGAUAGAGGCAGAGUUAGAGACAUCUCAGGUCAGUACCACCGUCGGACUCUGACCACCAAAAUCCUUGCUUCCUUCAACCGGCGAUACUUUAAACGACGGAACUGCAAGCAUACAGAAAAAAACCGUUAGGCCAUACAUCCGCCACCCAGAUCGUCGAAACGGGCUCCGAAUUCUUAAUACAUGGAGGUGGAAAGAAAAUAAGGAGCAUGAUCUUGCAGAGAUCAAUGGAGAGAGAGAGAGAGAGAGAGCAAUUUGCGGGUAGGCACUACCGUUGCUCUCCAUACACCAAAAAAAUGGCCUCCCUCCACUGUUUAACUACUACAGAGAGCAAAGAGUAGAGAGGUGAUGAGACAUGAGAAAAUCCAAAGCGUUACCAACAAAGGAUGCAAUUUCAACAUGAUUGGUAUGCAAAAAGAUCAUCAAUGGCUUGGAUGCUCACAACACUAGACCCAUAAGACUUUUAAGAGACAAAGCAUGAAGUCCAUAAACAAGGGGUUAAACUAUUUGAAUAUUGGUUUAUUUUAGGAUUAUAAAUGUUAUUUUGAGCUAUGAAUCUAAAUUUGUAUGAUGCUCAAAGGUAUUUGUUUUUCCACUACUGUAAGUUUAAUUUUUUCCCCUUAUUUAAAGUGUGUUAUUAUAUGUUA